rnacentral:rRNA from 1 species
UAACGCGUAGGAAUCUAUCCAUGGGUGGGGGAUAACUCUGGGAAACUGGAGCUAAUACCGCAUGAUACCUGAGGGUCAAAGGCGCAAGUCGCCUGUGGAGGAGCCUGCGUUUGAUUAGCUUGUUGGUGGGGUAAUGGCCUACCAAGGCGAUGAUCAAUAGCUGGUCUGAGAGGAUGAUCAGCCACACUGGGACUGAGACACGGCCCAGACUCCUACGGGAGGCAGCAGUGGGGAAUAUUGGACAAUGGGGGCAACCCUGAUCCAGCAAUGCCGCGUGUGUGAAGAAGGUUUUCGGAUUGUAAAGCACUUUCGACGGGGACGAUGAUGACGGUACCCGUAGAAGAAGCCCCGGCUAACUUCGUGCCAGCAGCCGCGGUAAUACGAAGGGGGCUAGCGUUGCUCGGAAUGACUGGGCGUAAAGGGCGUGUAGGCGGUUUGUACAGUCAGAUGUGAAAUCCCCGGGCUUAACCUGGGAGCUGCAUUUGAUACGUGCAGACUAGAGUGUGAGAGAGGGUUGUGGAAUUCCCAGUGUAGAGGUGAAAUUCGUAGAUAUUGGGAAGAACACCGGUGGCGAACGCGGCAACCUGGCUCAUAACUGAC